AUUAGAUGGUAAACUUUUUGAUUUGAGAGAGAAUAUUUCUUCUCAGGUUGACUUAAUCAACAACACCUGAAAUAAUGGAGUUGACACGCAAAAAAAGAAGUGGCACUUUUGAAGAGUGUAAUUGGUUGAUGGGUCUGUUAUUAGAUGGUAAACUUUUUGAUUUGAGAGAGAAUAUUUCUUCUCAGGUUGACUUAAUCAACAGCACCUGAAAUAAUGGAGUUGACACGCAAAAAAAGAAGUGGGUAAGUUUGGAAAAACAUGCAAAUCACUUUUAAAUUUUUUCCGUUUACUACAUACUUUGAAUUCCAGUUUUAUGUCUAAUUCUUUUGCAGCACUUUUGAAGAGUGUAAUUGGCAAGUGGUGCUCGAAUUGUGGAAAGAUGAAUUCCAUUAGCCUUGUUGCAGAAUUUAUUCUAGAAGUUUAGCGAAUUAAUUCAGAUGAUGAGGAGAGAGUUUGACGUAGUUUCAUGUUGAAAUUACUUUAGCUUUUAUUAGUUAGAAUUUGUUUUAUUUGAGAUAGAACAACCAGUCAUUUGAUUUGAUAGCGUAUAACUUGGAAGGAGACUUCUGCUAUGUCCUUUGAAAUACAAUCUAAAGAUUAUUAUUUCGUAUUUGUUA